rfam:Actinomyces sp. S6-Spd3 contig286, whole genome shotgun sequence.
GGGCGAUUGGCGCAGUGGUAGCGCGCUUCCCUGACACGGAAGAGGUCACUGGUUCGAACCCAGUAUCGCCCA